rfam:Canis lupus familiaris chromosome 4, whole genome shotgun sequence.
GUGCUCACUUUAGCAGCACAUAUACUAAAAUUGGAAUGAUACAGAGAAGAUUAGUGUGGCCCCUGAGUGAGAGAUACCUGGGAAGGAGGACACAGUCCCUGACUGU